ACGAACGCUGGCGGCGUGCUUAACACAUGCAAGUCGAACGGAAAGGCCCUGCUUUUGUGGGGUGCUCGAGUGGCGAACGGGUGAGUAACACGUGUGUAACCUGCCCUUGACUUUGGGAUAACUUCAGGAAACUGGGGCUAAUACCGGAUAGGAGCUCCUGCUGCAUGGUGGGGGUUGGAAAGUUUCGGCGGUUGGGGAUGGACUCGCGGCUUAUCAGCUUGUUGGUGGGGUAGUGGCUUACCAAGGCUUUGACGGGUAGCCGGCCUCAGAGGGUGACCGGCCACAUUGGGACUGAGAUACGGCCCAGACUCCUACGGGAGGCAGCAGUGGGGAAUAUUGCACAAUGGGCGGAAGCCUGAUGCAGCAACGCCGCGUGCGGGAUGACGGCCUUCGGGUUGUAAACCGCUUUCGCCUGUGACGAAGCGUGAGUGACGGUAAUGGGUAAAGAAGCACCGGCUAACUACGUG
rnacentral:rRNA from 1 species